ACCUCCCAGCUCCUAAUGACCACCCAGCACCACCUGCACUGCUCAGGACCUCUGGCAGGAGCACAGAAAGCAGCCAGCUGGGUUCCCAGGCGCCACGGGAGCUGCUGCGCUGGGACAUGCUGCUGGAUGGCACAAAGAGCUCUUUCCCUGGCUUGCUGCUUCUCCAGGACACCACGUUUCCAGCAUUGACCUCUUUCCAUCCCUGGAGAAACAGAAUCAUUGCUGAGGAGUGGAAGGGGAAGAGGCUCCACACAAGUAUUUAUUUCUUGGACAGAACCCAGGACUCCUCUUGACUAGAAUUGGCUGCUCCAGCCUGGCCCUGAGCGCCCCCAGGGAGGCAUCCACAGCCUCCUUGGGAGAUGUUAAAAAGCUCAUGAGAUCAGUCUUCUGCUGUAGGCUCUGACUGGAACCUGCCACAGCCACCCCUGAUGGGUGACCUCCCUGUAACGUCUGCCCCGGGGCCGUGCUGCUGAGGAACCACCAACGGAUGUGCUGCUGCCUUGCCAAUGCAACCUGUGGAGCUCCUAACUUCACUCCAUGAGAAGAUGCUGUGAGAUGUUGCUUUCCAGAUCCUCUCAACUGCAUUGUUGCAAAGGAGCUGGCUGCAGUGUGAGGACCAUGAAGAGUACUCUGGAAACUCUUUCAAGCACAGUUUCAGGAGCUGUGAGGCAGCAAAUAAAGCAGCAAUUUGGACUCUCUUCCUGGGGCCUGUGAGGAGGGAGAUGCAAUGAGUCUACACAGAGCAGCCACAAAGAAGAGGUAGUCUGUGGGGACUAAUGAGGUCUGUCACCUCCAUUUGCUCCUUGGAAACAAAAAGUUCUGGGGAUAAUCCUGACUGCCCUGAGCUUGAUCACUGACUCGAAAGGCUUUGCCUGUACCAGUGAAUAUCAAACACUUGGGACCCUUCUUUACAUCCUAGGACCAGCUCCAUGCCACCAGCACAGAACUUGGGAGAGAGAGGAUUCAUCUGCCUAGAGUACAAUCAUGCCAAGGUCUCUUCUGGCAUCAGCAGCACAACUGAGUGUAGCCAUGGCAAGGCAGGAAUUUCACCUUCUCCAUCCCCUGUCUUGAUUGUCAUUUAGCCUCUGUCCUGUCCCAGCAAUUCAGCAGCUGAAGGCUGGUCCAUAGAUGCAGGCACUGCCUGGUUUGUGCCCCAGUUUGAGGAGCAGGAGGCUCUCUAGCAAAGCAGCUGCUUAGCUGAGCACUGGAUUUGACUGAAUUGCCCCUUCGAGGCAAGCCCCA